CCCAUAAACAAUUAGCCACUACUUUCAAUGCCACGAUUUUGAUAACAACAAAAGCACUGUCUUUCGAAGGAGGUUUUACUAACCAAAGCUACCAUAAGGUUUUUUUUAUAUUCAUCUGAACGGACCAUCACGUUACGUUUGAAAGAGAUAUGGAUCUGUGUGUUGUCUGCAUAUAAAUGAGAAUAACAAUGUCCAAGGGAGUUAACGAGCUGGCUAGCAUAAAUAGAAGAGAGUACUGGACCUAGGAUUGAACCUUGUGGCACUCCCGACUUCAAUUCUGGAAAAUUCGACUUAUUGGCUGCUGCUGUCACAUUCUGAUAUCUUCCCCUCGAAUAAAUAUUGAAGAAUUCAACACUAUCUGCAGGUAUAGAGAUAACGUAGAUACGUGAAAAGUUGCCAAAAAGGCUUGAAAGUUUCCCCGAGAACAAUUAAAUGACGAAAGUUCUUGUGCACUCCUGUUAGUUCUUGUACAUUGUCAAUGACCAGAAGGAUGCUCGUCGACAACGAAGAAGUGCCAAAAGGGCCUUGAUGAACGACCCUAGGGGGUGAGAGAAGACAAUGGAAUGACGUCACCUCUUAAGCAACCCUGUUGGUGUAGAUUGUCAUCAAUGAACAGAAAGUAUCGAAGAAGAAGAAGAAGUGUCAAAAUGACACAUAUUGCUGUUUUUU